AGCCUUGAAGAUCUUCAACCUUCAGUUCUUCAAGUUUCCUGGAUUCUUCAAUGGCCACAACAAUGUGGUCAAAGUUAGGGGUUAGGGACCGUAAUACCUUCUCAACAAUCGCUUGAUCAGUCAUCGUUUCACCACAUGCCUUCAUAGCAUUGGUGAGAGUGAGGAUUCGAUUAAAGAAUUGAGCAAUUUUUUCAUUUGACUCCAUUUGCAUCAACUCAUACUGGCGUCUCAUAGUUUGGAGACGCACCUUCUUCAAUUGAUCUGCUCCUUGAUGACAUUUCUCCAGAAUCUGCCAUGCCUUCUGUGACAUCUUUGCUUAUGCAAUCUUCUCAAAGUGUGCAUCGUCGACACUCUGAUGAAGAAGACACAUGGCUUUGCAGUCUUUCUUUUUGUUUUCCUUGUGUGCCACCCUCUGUGCUUCUGUUGCAUCUGUAGCAAGUUCUGGGUAGCCAUUUUCAACAAUCUCCGUGAUUUCUUGAAAGCCGAAAAUGGCUUUCAUCUGGAUACUCCAUCGAUUCCAGUUCUUGCCAUCAAGAACAAGAAGGUUCGACUGUAAGGUUGCGCUGGUGUGUCCCAUUGUAGAUCAACCCACAAGAACGCCCUUGAAUCUGAACUACGCUCUGGAUACCAGUUUGUUGGAGAAAAGAAAUGAAAAA
rnacentral:lncRNA from 1 species